UACGUAGGGUGCAAGCGUUGUCCGGAAUUAUUGGGCGUAAAGAGCUCGUAGGCGGCUUGUCACGUCGACUGUGAAAACCCGGGGCUCAACUCCGGGCCUGCAGUCGAUACGGGCUGGCUUGAGUGCGGUAGGGGGAGACUGGAAUUCCUGGUGUAGCGGUGAAAUGCGCAGAUAUCAGGAGGAACACCGGUGGCGAAGGCGGGUCUCUGGGCCGAUACUGACGCUGAGGAGCGAAAGCGUGGGGAGCGAACAGG
rnacentral:rRNA from 1 species